GCGAAGAAAGUGAACAGUCUCCAUCAGUUCUCUAAUAAGUUUUUAGAAGCCAAACUCGUUACAAUGAAACUAUUUUUGCCCUGUGCUGUUUUGCUGGCCGUGAUCGCUCUUUGCCAGGGAGCGCCAAAUGAAGCCAAGAAUGACCGUACACCUGUAGCCAAUGAUGCAAACAAUAACGCGGGAAACUCGAAUAAUAACUAAGCUCAAGUCGCGAGUUACGUGAGCUAUGCUUACUGCAGAAUUCAUUUGUCACCUGAUGAAAAUGUAAUUGCAAAUUAUUAAAAAUAUUUAAAAAAUUA